GACAGGGCCAGAGGGAAAGGAGAUUUGAUUGUUUCUGCAGUGGCGACCGCAUUCUUGGAAUUCUUAAGAGUGCAAUGACUUUCAUCCUAGAGAACCUAGUGCAGGAGAGGGGAGAACAGACCAGAGCUGACCGGGAGCCACGCUGAGGCCAGGGAGGCCUCACAGCUCCCGUGCAGGUUGCCUGAGGCUCCAGGAAUCUCUGCUGAGGAGGGGCUGGUGCAGUCCAGCCGGGUAGCAGGAAUUACCAGCUGAAAAACAAUGCGGAGAUGUCAGCCAUGGCGUGACAAAGGCUUCUGCCAACACGUCUGCCCGUGGACCCAGGCCUGUCACUUUUCCGAUCGGUAAUAAGCUGGUUUCAAUGGUGAUGCCCUCUAACUCCGGUUCCACCGAACCUGCAAUUAACUGGAAUAGAUUUUCCUUCCCCUUUUACAACUACUAUAAGAAAACAGUCGAAUUACAUGCAAAUACAAUGCUCUUAGGAAUGUCUGUUUAAACUGUGUAAGAUUUGAGCAUCUAUUGAAUGAAAGGAACAACCAGUAUUAGGGGAAGGGUGCAGCAGGGGAAGGCCCUCCAACUCCGUCUGAGGCUCUGAGGAGCUCUGGGGCCUGCAGGACACCAGUUCUUCCAGUUGGUUUCUGGUUCCCUGCAGUGGGGUUCCCCAGGGCCCCUUCCAGCCCUACUGAAGCAGAAUGUCUGAAAGUGAGGCCUGCAGGGCUGAAGAGUUAAAAUUCCGAUGCACCCAAAUGCU